GGAGGAGGGGCGCGUGGUAUGGGUGAUAUUGAGCUCGCGACAUUGAUCCAUCCUAGUCAGAACAGCUUGGGACUCCGCAGCAGUACGACGCGCGCCUUCUCCCUGGGUCAAGUUGAAGAUUCCAGAGCGCGAGACCAAUGUAACCUCACGUUGCGAAAUCUUCGGCACGAGCCACGUUAACGUCGGCAUCAGAGGCAAUGGCGAUGCGCAAGUGUGGGGGAAGACACGCGCGGGUUUUCUGACCAUCUUCAGCAGUCUCGCGGUAGGCACUGAUGCUCUCUACGUGGGGAGAUGCAGCAAGAGACGUUUAAUACAAACACGCGAAGGUACGGGUAAUAACAGCAACAUUCUGCUCAGCCCACCCGCGAACGUGCCGUUAUCUCUACGUGAAACAGCUGGUGUGUGAUCCUGAGCGCGCGUGUUCGUGUAGGGAUAUGCCUGUUUCCAGCUGUGGCAGAGAGUCUACUUCUGGGCUUUUGUCUAUCAUGACUCUCUUUCAUUCUACAUCCAGUUAACACACACACAUACACAGUCACUCACACAUAGAUACACACACACACACACACACACA